CAAAAUAAUUUUCAAUUCUCACCCAAAUGCAAAACACCAGUUUUCUAAUACCCCUUUUGUUUUCGAUAGCGGUCACAAUCCUCUUCCUCAACAAUUUAUCCGUUGAAUCAGCUUUCUGCUCCGACUCAAUGGCGACAACCACCAAUUUGGGAGGAGUCUGCCCUUCCCAGGGAUCCCAAAACAGCGCCGAGCUGGAAAACCUCGCUCGCUUUGCCGUCGACGAGCACAACAAGAAAGGAAAUGCGAUGGUCGAGUUUGUGAGGCUCGUGAAAGCAAGCGAACAAGUGGUGGCUGGGACGCUUCACCAUUUGACGGUGGAGGCUAUGGACGCUGGCAAAAAGCUUUAUGAAGCCAAAGUUUGGGUUAAGCCUUGGAUGGACUUUAAAGAACUGCAGGAGUUCAAACAUGCUGGCGACGCUGAUAAUUGCCCUUCUUUCACCGCUUCGGACCUGGGUGCCAAGAAAGGUGUCCCUGGACCAAUGCUGCAAGCUGUGGCCACGGACGAUCCUGUAGUUCGGGAUGCGGCGAAUCAUGCUGUUAAGAGCAUACAACAGAGAUCCAAUUCCCUGCUGCCUUAUGAACUUAAAGAAAUCGUUCAUGCCAACGCCGAAGUAUUGGAAGAUUCUGCUAAACUCAACAUGCUUCUCAAGUUGAAGAGAGGAGACAAGGAAGAGAAGUUCAAGGUGGAGGUUCACCAUAAGAGCGAAGGGACUUACCAUCUGAGCCACAUGGAGCACGACCACUCUUGAAAGCUAAUGUUAUGGUAAAUCGUCAGAGUUUGAAACUAAAAAUUACGGUAUGACUAUAAAAAUAGUAUCAUGUGCUCACCUUUACUCCUCUGUCAAACCUAUGUUUGUAAGAAUGUAUAUCUUUGUAUGAAAGUCGCUAAUCUUCGGGUUAUGUAUCGACCUCUUGAUAUA